CAGUUGUUAUCCACUCUCUGCUUCUUUGACGCCAUUCUACCGCCAAAAGCCCAAAAGAACCAGCAGGCAAAGAAAGCACGAUAGGAUUUUGCUUUCUUUUUCAAUUAAUUUUUUGUAUUUCGAUUGAGAACCAUAAAUGGUAUCUGUGUACAUUCCAGUGCAGAACUCGGAGGAGGAGGUCAGGUGGCUCUGUAUCAGCUCCCUAAAGAAGCUUGAUAUUCUCGACAUUCUUAAAGCCGAGCAAGCUCCUCUCGAUCUCUGGCUUAUCAUCGCAGUUAGUUCUUUUCUUUUCGGUGUCCUUUUCGUUCAAUUUGUCAUCUACAAUUAGCGGUUAAUCGCGAAUUUCCAUUUAGAACUGACAUUGACAAAACUAAGGGCACUGAAAUAAUAAUUUCUAGGGUACUUGAAUUAUUCAUUUUGCUUAGUUACACCAUUUUAGUUUAGUAUGCUGUUGCUUUCCUUUUUGGAGAAAUUAUUUAUUUAUUUAUUUAAAUUUGCUGGUGAUGUGGUUGCUGUUCAGAGGGAGCAAUUUAAACAAGGAAAACUCGGUCAAAGCAUCUGAGCUGGUAUUUCAGAUAAUCUGAUAAAUGGUUUGUUUCUUUUUUUCAAAAAAAAAAAUUAUUGCAGAAAUUGAUGAAUGUUAUGCUGAUGUUGGAUAUGAAAGAAUUGCCAUUAAUGUGUACAUUAAAUGCUUUAGGGGCUUAUUAUAUCUAUCUUGGAAAAUCGAGACCAAACAGAGAGAAAAAGAGGAAUAUUUUAUAAAAAAAUCUCUGUUAUCAAAUAUGACUGAAUAAGUGAUCAGACAGGUACCUUGUACUUGCAUAUUUGUUUAAAAUGAUUACAAAUCCUUGUUAGAACUUUACUCCCAUUUCAUUCUUUUCAUUUGGUUGUCUUUGUGUACAAUGUUCAGUGCUUGACUCUUUAUAUGAUUAACUCGAGUUGCUAUAUCUCCAUUUCAUGUAUGGCUCAGAAAUAUGGAUCAUUGAAUUCUUGGUUGCGUGUUACCUGAAUCUGUUUUCACGUUUAUUAUUGUUGUUUUGGAUUGCAAGUAGCAAUGAAUUAUUUUGUGUUCUUUCUUUUAUCUGACUGUGACAUAAAAAAUGCAGCACUUCUGAAUCCUGAAUGGACUACUAGAAGUGUGGAAACCAAUUUUUUCACCUCUGUACUACUAAUAUAUUAAAUCAUGCUUUGAUGGUUGGUGUCUCUGAAGAAUCUACAUUAUCAAACCCUUGGUUGCAAGCUAUUACUCAAUUUUAGGGAGCCUUCUUCUGUGUUGUGGCCCGCAUACUUACUGAAGACUUUAAGAUCAUGUUGUGAUUUUCUACACAUUACAGGUCAGCUAUUACUGGCCAAAGGUGAAUUAGAACAGGCACCUAAUGCAUUUAAGAUCGUUCUAGAGGGAGACUGUGAUAAUGUAUCUGCCCUUUUGGGUCAGGUAUAUUAAAUCUUCUCUAUAUUCAAUUGAUUCUGUUAGUGAUUGUAUAUAGGUCAUUAUUGUUUGUCCAGAAAACUUGCUUUGCUCUCUACUGUAAAUUUUGUUGUAAUGCCCUGUAGAGAUGGAUGAUGGUUGCAUUGUUUCCUUUUACAGCAAGUUUUUCUCUUGAUAAAAUUCCUUCUGUUUCUCUAACUUGACACCUUUUAGUUUUUUGGCUUAUUUUUCAACCCAACUUUGUUCGGUAAAUGCUUAUGUUCAUCAUUCUUUGAUUGCAUUACUUUCCUAUAUAAUGCUAUUCCAUCUAAGGCUAUCUUGUCUGCUUAGCUACAUUCCAAAUAUAUUUGGCAUAGGCAUAAAAUUGAUACUUAUUGUGUCUAACAUGGUAAAGACUAAUGAGUUAGUUCUGUGAAACGUACAAGGUUUGUUAUUUUCACCUUAUUGUUUGCCAUCCAUGCUACUUUUUUUUUUAAUACAUUUCAUUUGUAUUCUGAAGACGAGUUGAUAGGAGCCGUGAGAAAUCUUGUCAUCUGACAUAAUUUUUCUAGUUUGUGAUUAACUUGCUAUUUUGACAUUUGGUAAAAGGGCAUUGCAAGUGUAUCCUAAUUGUCCUGGAGCUGUAAGGCCUGGUAUAGGUCACUGCCACUAUAAAUUGGGCCAUUUUAAAAAAGCAUGGCAAGCAUUUGAACAGAUUUUGCAGGCAAGUGAUGUGAUCUGGUGUACAUGCAUUGGAAUUAUGGUUACCAACUGUAUAAAUUGCACGCAUCGAACUGAUGCUGGUAUCCAUAUAUUUCCUGAUUUUGUAUAAUACAGUUAGAUCCAGAAAAUGCUGCAGCUCUUGUAGCACUUGCAGUUUUGGAUUUGCAAACAAAUGAAGGAGAGAUGGAAAAAAUGCAAAAAGCUUUUGAGAUAUAUCCCUACUGUGCAAUGGCACUGAACCAUCUAUCGAUCACUUUUACUUCACUGGUCAACAUUUUUAAGUUAAGCAACUGACUUAAACUGCCCUAGUUGUGACUAAUCAUGGACCAACAAAGUCACGCUCUUGCUAGUUGCUACAAUUUAGCACACUCUUGCCACAGCAAGGUUCGGAAGCUAUCCACGUUUUUAUAAUUGAAAUAAAGUGUAUUCCUAUUUUAUUAUGGCCAAAAACUUUGUUGGGAGGUGGAGGAAAUGGUUUCCAUUGUGUUAUUCUCUUGCUUGUUUUCUUUUUAUGUGCUUGCAUGUGCACACGUGCUUAAAUUAGAUUUUGAUUUUACGGAGAAUCAAAGAGAUGCAAGAUAAGCCAAACUGUCUGAAGGCACUCUAUGACACACUCUUGCUGUUGGAAGUUCAUGAUAUGUGCAGCAGUCUAAAUGCGUUGCAAAAUUGCUAUGUGAAUACUUAAUCACAAAUUUUUAAUGGUGGCACUGAUUGCAAUAGGAUACCUGACAUGUUAUAGAUUAUUAUGGGAGGUUUAUUAAUUCUGUUGGUGUUAAGUCUGCUGAUAUUAGUGAUUCAUUACUGUCUGUCUUUCAGUGUUAGCAUCAGUUAAUCAUCAUUCAAAGUGAAAUUGGGAUAUUCUUUAAUUUGAAUUAUGUUUUAUUCUAGUCAUUAAUUUUGCAUUUUGAGCUCUAGUUGUUCAAAAUGGAAUAUUUUCCUUCAUUUGCUAGCUGAAAUUUGUCUUAUUUCUUGGGAGAGGCCUGCUCCUUCAUCAAGUAGGAGGUGGCGGGCUUGGUCAGAAUCUGAUGAUGAUGAGGUAUUAGAGAGGAAACCACAGGCCAGUCCUGUCGGAGAAAAUUCUACUGAGCUGCAAGAGAGCGAUGUAGAAUUCAGAGAGGAUGUUGACAUUUGACAAGGAACAUGGGAAUGCUUCUGUGGAUGAUGAGGAUUGAUAUCAAAGAUUUUUCAAACUUAGCAAUAGGAACCAAUUUAUCCUGCUAAACUUGAAAUUUGUCCAUUUAAACAGAAACAAAGGGAAAUGUAACAAAUGCUAGACUUCAAGGGGCAGUGGAAUUGAGUGGCGGGUGUCGAUGUCCCCACGGGCUUUGGAGAUAAAGCUUUGGGAUCUCGAUGCUAUAAAUGCUCUUGAAUUCAAGGCUUGAAGAUAAUAGAGUUGCUUGUUUUCAAAGACUGAGACAAAGGUAUUUUGUUUUACUUUUCCCCUUCUCUCUCUCUCCGUGUGUGUCUCUGGAGUGGUUACUGACAGAAGCAGAGAGUCAGAUAUUUUCAUGGGUGGGUGGGUGAUGGCCUGAUGGGUGAGAGGAUUAAAAAGUGUACUGUAUGGACGUGCUUCUUUACUGGCUACUGAUUCGGUGGAAAAGCCUUUUAAGUCAUGUCUCUAAACUCUCUUUUUCUGAGGCAGCCAGACCCACGCUCACCCCACCAAUUGCACCAGAAGCUUCAGAACAGAUGCAGACUAAUGCUUUGUUUGCAAUGGCUUUUACCUGACCUGAUCCCUUCUGCUCAGUUGGCUUCAGUUUCCAUGACUAAAAUGCCCCUUUUCUCAUUUCGUUGCCCAACCGAAACACUUUCUCGACAACAGGUAUUUGUUUUGCGCCAUUUUUUACCGUGUCAACUGGAGUUUUAUGUGGGAAAUGUAUCUGAAAAUUUCAUCCACCGUUAUUGAAAAAGUACUUUCAUAACAAUAUCAUUUUUAAACAUCAAUUUGUAUAAAAAAAAAUUUGAUAAAUUUUACAAAGGGUUACUAAACUAAUUACUGAAUGUAUUGUGGCCACAAGAUAAAUUUAUUAUAAGAAAAAAUUAUUAUUUAGUUUAUUUAUUUUUAAUAAAAUUAACUAUUUGAUCAUUUUAUUUUAAAAAAUAUUUUAGGAAAGGAGAAAAAUAGGAAAAAAAAUUUUACAAAAGGGACUCAAUACCUAAACUCUCAUCUAUGGAGGAGAAUUUGUGAGAAAAAUAGAUUGGGACUUAAACCCUAAACUGAAAUGAAGAAGGAGAAUAUGGUUGAAAAAUAGUUUUGGAACACAAUCUCUAGAAGAAUAUGGGAGAAAGUUAGUUUUGAAAAUCAAGCCCUAAGUUAAAAUGAAGAAAGAGAAUGGCUUUGAGACUAAACCCGACGCUUUGAUAACAUAUUAAAAUCUCAAAUGAUAGAAAAGAUAAAAGAGAAAAUAAUAAGAGAAGGACUUACAUGAUUUGGCUACCAGGAGUUUACUUGUGUAUUUAACAUAAAAUAUGAAAGAUACAAGAUAUAUAUGUUAUUCUAUCAAUAAACCAUAAAUUGCUAAAGCAAUUGAUUAUUUUUUUUAAUAAUUAUGAGAUUCUUAGAUAUGAGACAUCCCUUGAAUUAAAAUAAAAGGUAAAUAUCAUCAAUUCCACUAGACACGACGAGUUUCAACCAGAUUAGAUAAUUCCAAAUUGCAUAAGUCGACAUUUAUAGUUUCAACUUGAAUCAAAAGCCAUCUUCGACACUAAAAACCACCACGUUUGUGGAUUAGAUAAAUUCCAAAGUGUCGAAGGUGCAUAGAAAACCUCCACGUUGGCCGCUUUCACCCUAACUUAGGAAUUUGUUUUCCAUUCAUCCUAGAGUGGGAAAUAUUUUCCCAUUAACCCUGUUUUGGAACCUUGCCCUUUACCCCGACUUUUACCUCCUCCCCUUCCCCAGUCCUCCUCUCCUAACACACAACCACCCCACCCCCCACCCCGCGCCCCCCCUUCCCCCGCCGGGCGCCCCGCCACAAGUUCUUUCUUCUGUCAGAAGCCAACCAAUUGUCCUUGCUCCACACCGGCAAUGUAAGGGGACACCGGUGACUCUAGAUGAUUGCCAUGUCCACCAAAUGAUGGCAAGAGGUAGAACACUGAAGGAGGAGAGAGAAGCAUUGUCGGAUCUUUAGGUUCAGAUUUCCGGAGAUCCCGACUUUGGAUCUCUAGGCCAUUUGCUAUCUGACCAGAAUUUGUGGCUCGAGUUUUAGUGGUAAAUCUGCUCUCAUGCUCUCAUUGGAUUUAAGAGAUUGGAGUUGUAGCUUUACUCCUCUAGUAACAGUUAGACCUUAGUGGCUGAGAUAAGUAAUCAACUCCCUCUCGUAUUGUAUUGGAAUGUUUAUUUUCUCACAUGGUAUAUUCGUACAUGGUGCAUAAGUAGCUUUAAAUUAUUUUCUUGUAUGAUUAUUUUAUGAAUUAUUUGAGGGUGAACGGCUGAUUAGUAAUUAUAAAAAUUAUAAUUAUAUUUAAUA